rnacentral:rRNA from 1 species
UACGUAGGCAGCAAGCGUUGUUCGGAGUUACUGGGCGUAAAGAGUGCGUAGGCGGUGCUCUAAGUUUGGUGUGAAAUCUCCCGGCUCAACUGGGAGCUUGCAGGCGAAACUGCCGUGCUGGAGUGUGGGAGAGGUGCGUGGAAUUCCUGGUGUAGCGGUGAAAUGCGCAGAUAUCGGGAGGAACACCAAUGGCGAAGGCAGCUUGCUGGGACGGUACUGACGCUGAGGCGCGAAAGCGUGGGGAGCAAACAGG